UACAGAGGUCCCAAGCGUUGUUCGGAUUCACUGGGCGUAAAGGGUGCGUAGGUGGCCAGGUAAGUUCGGUGUGAAAGCUCGGAGCUUAACUCCGAAAUGGCAUUGAAUACUAUCUGGCUAGAGGGUCGGAGGGGAGACUGGAAUUCUCGGUGUAGCAGUGAAAUGCGUAGAUAUCGAGAGGAACACCAGUGGCGAAGGCGAGUCUCUGGACGACUCCUGACACUGAGGCACGAAAGCCAAGGGGAGCAAACCAGG
rnacentral:rRNA from 1 species